GGUUAAGCGACUAAGCGUACACGGUGGAUGCCCUGGCAGUCAGAGGCGAUGAAGGACGUGCUAAUCUGCGAAAAGCGCCGGCGAGGUGAUAUGAACCCUUGACCCGGCGAUGUCCGAAUGGGGAAACCCAGUGCAAUCCGUUGCACUAUCGUUAACUGAAUACAUAGGUUAACGAGGCGAACCGGGGGAACUGAAACAUCUAAGUACCCCGAGGAAAAGAAAUCAACCGAGAUUCCCCCAGUAGCGGCGAGCGAACGGGGAGCAGCCCGGAGUCUGAAUCAGCUUGUGUGUUAGUGGAACGGUCUGGAAAGUCCGACGGUACAGGGUGAUAGUCCCGUACACGAAAAUGCACAUGCUGUGAACUCGAAGAGUAGGGCGGGACACGUGGUAUCCUGUCUGAAUAUGGGGGGACCAUCCUCCAAGGCUAAAUACUCCUGACUGACCGAUAGUGAACCAGUACCGUGAGGGAAAGGCGAAAAGAACCCCGGCGAGGGGAGUGAAAAAGAACCUGAAACCGUGUACGUACAAGCAGUGGGAGCCUCUUUAUGGGGUGACUGCGUACCUUUUGUAUAAUGGGUCAGCGACUUAUAUUCUGUAGCAAGGUUAACCGUAUAGGGGAGCCGAAGGGAAACCGAGUCUUAACUGGGCGUUAAGUUGCAGGGUAUAGACCCGAAACCCGGUGAUCUAGCCAUGGGCAGGUUGAAGGUUGGGUAACACUAACUGGAGGACCGAACCGACUAAUGUUGAAAAAUUAGCGGAUGACCUGUGGCUGGGGGUGAAAGGCCAAUCAAACCGGGAGAUAGCUGGUUCUCCCCGAAAGCUAUUUAGGUAGCGCCUCGUGAACUCAUCUUCGGGGGUAGAGCACUGUUUCGGCUAGGGGGCCAUCCCGGCUUACCAACCCGAUGCAAACUACGAAUACCGAAGAAUGUUAUCACGGGAGACACACGGCGGGUGCUAACGUCCGUCGUGAAGAGGGAAACAACCCAGACCGCCAGCUAAGGUCCCAAAGUCAUGGUUAAGUGGGAAACGAUGUGGGAAGGCACAGACAGCCAGGAUGUUGGCUUAGAAGCAGCCAUCAUUUAAAGAAAGCGUAAUAGCUCACUGGUCGAGUCGGCCUGCGCGGAAGAUGUAACGGGGCUAAACCAUGCACCGAAGCUGCGGCAGCGACACUAUGUGUUGUUGGGUAGGGGAGCGUUCUGUAAGCCGUUGAAGGUGUGCUGUGAGGCAUGCUGGAGGUAUCAGAAGUGCGAAUGCUGACAUAAGUAACGAUAAAGCGGGUGAAAAGCCCGCUCGCCGGAAGACCAAGGGUUCCUGUCCAACGUUAAUCGGGGCAGGGUGAGUCGACCCCUAAGGCGAGGCCGAAAGGCGUAGUCGAUGGGAAACAGGUUAAUAUUCCUGUACUUGGUGUUACUGCGAAGGGGGGACGGAGAAGGCUAUGUCAGCCGGGCGACGGUUGUCCCGGUUUAAGCAUGUAGGCGGAGGUUCCAGGUAAAUCCGGUACCUUUUAACGCUGAGGUGUGAUGACGAGGCACUACGGUGCUGAAGUGAUAAAUGCCCUGCUUCCAGGAAAAGCCUCUAAGCAUCAGGUAACACGAAAUCGUACCCCAAACCGACACAGGUGGUCAGGUAGAGAAUACCAAGGCGCUUGAGAGAACUCGGGUGAAGGAACUAGGCAAAAUGGUGCCGUAACUUCGGGAGAAGGCACGCUGAUGUGUAGGUGAAGCCCCUGCGGGCGGAGCUGAAAUCAGUCGAAGAUACCAGCUGGCUGCAACUGUUUAUUAAAAACACAGCACUGUGCAAACACGAAAGUGGACGUAUACGGUGUGACGCCUGCCCGGUGCCGGAAGGUUAAUUGAUGGGGUUAGCGGCAACGCGAAGCUCUUGAUCGAAGCCCCGGUAAACGGCGGCCGUAACUAUAACGGUCCUAAGGUAGCGAAAUUCCUUGUCGGGUAAGUUCCGACCUGCACGAAUGGCGUAAUGAUGGCCAGGCUGUCUCCACCCGAGACUCAGUGAAAUUGAACUCGCUGUGAAGAUGCAGUGUACCCGCGGCAAGACGGAAAGACCCCGUGAACCUUUACUAUAGCUUGACACUGAACACUGGUCCUUGAUGUGUAGGAUAGGUGGGAGGCUUUGAAGCGUGGACGCCAGUCUGCGUGGAGCCAACCUUGAAAUACCACCCUUUAAUGGCUGGUGUUCUAACGUGGACCCGUUAUCCGGGUUGCGGACAGUGUCUGGUGGGUAGUUUGACUGGGGCGGUCUCCUCCCAAAGAGUAACGGAGGAGCACGAAGGUUGGCUAAUCCUGGUCGGACAUCAGGAGGUUAGUGCAAUGGCAUAAGCCAGCUUGACUGCGAGCGUGACGGCGCGAGCAGGUGCGAAAGCAGGUCAUAGUGAUCCGGUGGUUCUGAAUGGAAGGGCCAUCGCUCAACGGAUAAAAGGUACUCCGGGGAUAACAGGCUGAUACCGCCCAAGAGUUCAUAUCGACGGCGGUGUUUGGCACCUCGAUGUCGGCUCAUCACAUCCUGGGGCUGAAGUAGGUCCCAAGGGUAUGGCUGUUCGCCAUUUAAAGUGGUACGCGAGCUGGGUUUAGAACGUCGUGAGACAGUUCGGUCCCUAUCUGCCGUGGGCGCUGGAGAAUUGAGGGGGGCUGCUCCUAGUACGAGAGGACCGGAGUGGACGCAUCACUGGUGUUCGGGUUGUCAUGCCAAUGGCACUGCCCGGUAGCUAAAUGCGGAAGAGAUAAGUGCUGAAAGCAUCUAAGCACGAAACUUGCCCCGAGAUGAGUUCUCCCUGAGACCUUGAGUCUCCUGAAGGAACGUUAAAGACGAUGACGUUGAUAGGUCGGGUGUGUAAGCGCAGCGAUGCGUUGAGCUAACCGAUACUAAUGAACCGUGAGGCUUAACCUU
rnacentral:rRNA from 1 species